GCCAUAUAUCACUACGCACUUGAGCCUCUUCACAUGCCCCACCGGAACAGAGCGCGACCGUUACUUCUUCUGGCUGAAGGUGGUGUUUUCCCGAGAACAGAGACAGAAAACCAAGAAGUACAGACAGAAGAGGAGUUGAUCUUGACUUCCUGGUUUGUGACACAGAGUAGAGAGAUUAAGAGGCUGUAAGAAAAUGCUCCCUCCAGCCAAGUCCUCAGGAUUCUGAAGUUGAGGAUGAGAUUAAGGUGUGGCUACGGAAUUCAAGAGACA